rnacentral:rRNA from 1 species
UAAAAAAUUUGGCGGUAUUUUAGUCUAUUCAGAGGAACUUGUUUUAUAAUUGAUAAUCCUCAAUGGACCUUACUUAAAUUUGUUUUAGUUUAUAUACCGUCGUUAUUAGAAUAUUUUAUAAAAAUGUUAAUUUUCUUAAUUUUUUAAGGGAAAAUAUAUCAGAUCAAGGUGUAGCUAAUGUUUAAGUAAAAAUGAGUUACAAUAAAAUUAUUUAAAACGAAUAUAAGUAUGAAAUUUUUAUUGAAGGUGGAUUUGAUAGUAAAAAUAUAAAGAUAAUUAUUUUGAUUUUAGCUCUAAAAUAUGUACAUAUCGCCCGUCACUCUUAUUAUUAAGGUAAGAUAAGUCGUAACAUAGUAGGUGUACUGGAAAGUGUAUCUAGAAUGCAAUUUAAAGCUUAAUUAGUAAAGUAUUUCAUUUACAUUGAAGUGAUUUUUGUGCAAAUCAAUAUAAAUUGAUUGUGAGUUAUUUAUUAAUUAUUUUAUUUAUCAAUUUUUAAUUUAUUAAAAAUAAUUAUAAAAUUAAAUGUUUUAGUAUUUUAUAAAGAAAAAAUAAUAUUUAUUAUAGUUUAAUAGUAUUG